GCCGCCUUAGCUCAGUUGGUUAGAGCAGCUGUUUUGUAAACAGCAGGUCGUGGGUUCGAAUCCGACAGGCGGCUCCA
rnacentral:tRNA from 1 species